rnacentral:rRNA from 1 species
AUUGAACGCUGGCGGCAGGCUUAACACAUGCAAGUCGAGCGGAGAUGAGGUGCUUGCACCUUAUCUUAGCGGCGGACGGGUGAGUAAUGCUUAGGAAUCUGCCUAUUAGUGGGGGACAACAUUCCGAAAGGAAUGCUAAUACCGCAUACGUCCUACGGGAGAAAGCAGGGGAUCUUCGGACCUUGCGCUAAUAGAUGAGCCUAAGUCGGAUUAGCUAGUUGGUGGGGUAAAGGCCUACCAAGGCGACGACCUGUAGCGGGUCUGAGAGGAUGAUCCGCCACACUGGGACUGAGACACGGCCCAGACUCCUGCGGGAGGCAGCAGUGGGGAAUAUUGGACAAUGGGGGGAACCCUGAUCCAGCCAUGCCGCGUGUGUGAAGAAGGCCUUAUGGUUGUAAAGCACUUUAAGCGAGGAGGAGGCUACUGAGACUAAUACUCUUGGAUAGUGGACGUUACUCGCAGAAUAAGCACCGGCUAACUCUGUGCCAGCAGCCGCAGUAA